UACGGAGGGUGCAAGCGUUAUCCGGAUUCACUGGGUUUAAAGGGUGCGUAGGUGGGCAGGUAAGUCAGUGGUGAAAUCUCCGUGCUUAACAUGGAAACUGCCAUUGAUACUAUGUUUCUUGAAUUUUCUGGAGGUAAGCGGAAUAUGUCAUGUAGCGGUGAAAUGCUUAGAUAUGACAUAGAACACCAAUUGCGAAGGCAGCUGGCUACACGAGCAUUGACACUCAGGCACGAAAGCGUGGGGAUCAAACAGG
rnacentral:rRNA from 1 species